AGUGAACGCUGGCGGUAGGCCUAACACAUGCAAGUCGAACGGCAGCACAGUAAGAGCUUGCUCUUACGGGUGGCGAGUGGCGGACGGGUGAGGCAUACAUCGGAAUCUACUUUUUCGUGGGGGAUAACGUAGGGAAACUUACGCUAAUACCGCAUACGACCUACGGGUGAAAGCAGGGGAUCUUCGCACUUUGCGCGAUUGAUUGAGCCGAUGCCGGAUUAGCUAGUUGGCGGGGUAAAGGCCCACCAAGGCGACGAUCCGUAGCUGGUCUGAGAGGAUGAUCAGCCACACUGGAACUGAGACACGGUCCAGACUCCUACGGGAGGCAGCAGUGGGGAAUAUUGGACAAUGGGCGCAAGCCUGAUCCAGCCAUACCGCGUGGGUGAAGAAGGCCUUCGGGUUGUAAAGCCCUUUUGUUGGGAAAGAAAAGCAGCAUGUUAAUACCCCGCUGUUCUGACGGUACCCAAAGAAUAAGCACCGGCUAACUUCGUG
rnacentral:rRNA from 1 species